rnacentral:rRNA from 1 species
AUCCACAACGUAUCGGAUACUGGGCGUAAGCGUGCGCAGGCGGCUUGAAAAGUCAGAUGUGAAAUCCCUGGGCUCAACCUAGGAACUGCGUUUGAAACUCUCAAGCUAGAAUAUGUCAGAGGGGGGUAGAAUUCCACGUGUAGCAGUGAAAUGCGUAGAGAUGUGGAGGAAUACCAAUGGCGAAGGCAGCCCCCUGGGAUAAUAUUGACGCUCAUGCACGAAAGCGUGGGGAGCAGACAGGAUUAGAUACCCUGGUAGUCCACGCCCUAAACGAUGUCUACUAGUUGUUGGUGGAGUAUAAUCCAUGAGUAACGCAGCUAACGCGUGAAGUAGACCGCCUGGGGAGUACGGUCGCAAGAUUAAAACUCAAAUGAAUUGACGGGGGCCCGCACAAGCGGUGGAUUAUGUGGAUUAAUUCGAUGCAACGCGAAAAACCUUACCUGGCCUUGACAUGUAACGAACUUUCCAGAGGUGGAUUGGUGCUCGAAAGAGAACGUUAACACAGGUGCUGCAUGGCUGUCGUCAGCUCGUGUCGUGAGAUGUUGGGUUAAGUCCCGCAACGAGCGCAACCCUUGCCAUUAAUUGCCAUCAUUUAGUUGGGCACUUUAAUGGGACUGCCGGUGACAAACCGGAGGAAGGUGGGGAUGACGUCAAGUCCUCAUGGCCCUUAUGGCCAGGGCUUCACACGUAAUACAAUGGUCGGUACAGAGGGUUGCCAACCCGCGAGGGGGAGCCAAUCCCAGAAAGCCGAUCGUAGUCCGGAUUGUAGUCUGCAACUCGACUACAUGAAGUCGGAAUCGCUAGUAAUCGCGGAUCAGCAUGUCGCGGUGAAUACGUUCCCGGGCCUUGUACACACCGCCCGUCACACCAUGGGAGUGGGUUUUACCAGAAGUAGGUAGUCUAACCGCAAGGGGGACGCUUACCACGGUAGUAUUCGUGACUGGGGUG